UGGGGAAUAUUGCACAAUGGGCGCAAGCCUGAUGCAGCCAUGCCGCGUGUAUGAAGAAGGCCUUCGGGUUGUAAAGUACUUUCAGCGGGGAGGAAGGGAGUAAAGUUAAUACCUUUGCUCAUUGACGUUACCCGCAGAAGAAGCACCGGCUAACUCCGUGCCAGCAGCCGCGGUAAUACGGAGGGUGCAAGCGUUAAUCGGAAUUACUGGGCGUAAAGCGCACGCAGGCGGUUUGUUAAGUCAGAUGUGAAAUCCCCGGGCUCAACCUGGGAACUGCAUCUGGUACUGGCAAGCUUGAGUCUCGUAGAGGGGGGUAGAAUUCCAGGUGUAGCGGUGAAAUGCGUAGAGAUCUGGAGGAAUACCGGUGGCGAAGGCGGCCCCCUGGACGAAGACUGACGCUCAGGUGCGAAAGCGUGGGGAGCAAACAGG
rnacentral:rRNA from 1 species